AGCAGACUGGCAAUGAAUAACCAGAGAAAGACACACAGAACACAAGGGAUGAGAGAACCGGAGGGGAGCUUCCAUGCUCUCUCCAGGCACAUGGCUCUUCCCGAAUCUCCUCUACAUGUUUACCAACCUGGAAGCUCCCCGUGCGACUUUUUAACACACUGUAGAGCAAGAGCCCAUUAACCGGAAAGAGAAAAAAACAAGAACAUUGGGUGGCAAACAUGGUGUUGGAAAUACCUAUACAAUUUCAUUCUGUAUUGGAGACGAGGGCAGAAGACAUCUAAACUUCCUAUAUGUUCAUAUUGAGACCAAGGGCUGUCAUCGAUAACGUAUUAUACCAAGAAGAAAAAUAACCCUAGGCAGCAGGAGUGGUAUUCUAGAAAGAAAGUUUUUAAGGAAGCAGUUUGGCCUGUGGGAGUUCAGUUCCCGGAUGGAUCUAAGAAGAGGUGUUGGCUUUCAGGUCGUGCAGUGGUGACUUUCAAGCCUUUUACGUCCAAGAACUAAAACUGUAAGUUCUGAUAUUUUUUAUUAUUUUGCUUUGCAGCUUUCUUGACAACGCUAAUACUGUACAUUCAAAACAU